rnacentral:rRNA from 1 species
UACGAGGGGGGCGAGCGUUGUUCGGAAUUAUUGGGCGUAAAGGGUGCGUAGGCGGUUUGGUAAGUCUGAUGUGAAAUCUAUGGGCUCAACUCAUAGUCUGCAUCGGAAACUGCCGGGCUUGAGUGUGGGAGAGGUGAGUGGAAUUCCUGGUGUAGCGGUGAAAUGCGUAGAUAUCAGGAGGAACACCUGUGGCGAAAGCGGCUCACUGGACCACAACUGACGCUGAUGCACGAAAGCUAGGGAAGCAAACAGG